GUAGGUGGCAAGCGUUGUCCGGAAUUAUUGGGCGUAAAGCGCGCGCAGGCGGUCCUUUAAGUCUAAUGUGAAAGCCCACGGCUCAACCGUGGAGGGUCAUUGGAAACUGGGGGACUUGAGUACAGAAGAGGAAAGCGGAAUUCCACGUGUAGCGGUGAAAUGCGUAGAGAUGUGGAGGAACACCAGUGGCGAAGGCGGCUUUCUGGUCUGUAACUGACGCUGAGGCGCGAAAGCGUGGGGAGCAAACAGGGAUUAGAUACCCUGGUAGUCCACGCCGUAAACGAUGAGUGCUAAGUGUUAGGGGGUUUCCCGCCCCUUAGUGCUGCAGCUAACGCAUUAAGCACUCCGCCUGGGGAGUACGGCCGCAAGGCUG
rnacentral:rRNA from 1 species